UGCAGAGGAGUGCAGACUGAAGCCAGCAGU
rnacentral:piRNA from 1 species